rnacentral:rRNA from 1 species
ACGGACGGGUGAGUAAUGUCUGGGGAACUGCCUGAUGGAGGGGGAUAACUACUGGAAACGGUAGCUAAUACCGCAUAACGUCGCAAGACCAAAGAGGGGGACCUUCGGGCCUCUUGCCAUCAGAUGUGCCCAGAUGGGAUUAGCUAGUAGGUGGGGUAACGGCUCACCUAGGCGACGAUCCCUAGCUGGUCUGAGAGGAUGACCAGCCACACUGGAACUGAGACACGGUCCAGACUCCUACGGGAGGCAGCAUG